AACGAACGCUGGCGGCAGGCCUAACACAUGCAAGUCGAGCGCGUAGCAAUACGAGCGGCAGACGGGUGAGUAACGCGUGGGAACAUGCCCAAAGGUACGGAACAACUCCGGGAAACUGGAGCUAAUACCGUAUGUGCCCUUCGGGGGAAAGAUUUAUCGCCUUUGGAUUGUCCCGCGUCUGAUUAGCUAGUUGGUGGGGUAACGGCCUACCAAGGCGACGAUCAGUAGCUGGUCUGAGAGGAUGAUCAGCCACACUGGGACUGAGACACGGCCCAGACUCCUACGGGAGGCAGCAGUGGGGAAUAUUGGACAAUGGGCGCAAGCCUGAUCCAGCCAUGCCGCGUGAGUGAUGAAGGCCUUAGGGUUGUAAAGCUCUUUCGCCAGGGACGAUAAUGACGGUACCUGGAUAAGAAGCCCCGGCUAACUUCGUGCCAGCAGCCGCCGUAAUAC
rnacentral:rRNA from 1 species